rnacentral:rRNA from 1 species
CCUGGCGGCACUAGCGCGGUGGUCCCACCUGACCCCAUGCCGAACUCAGAAGUGAAACGCGUAGGCGCCGAUGGUAGUGUGGGGUCUCCCCAUGUGAGAGUAGGGAACUGCCAGGC